rnacentral:rRNA from 1 species
GAGGGGCAGCAUGGUCUUAGCUUGCUAAGGCUGAUGGCGACCGGCGCACGGGUGAGUAACACGUAUCCAACCUGCCGUCUACUCUUGGCCAGCCUUCUGAAAGGAAGAUUAAUCCAGGAUGGCAUCAUGAGUUCACAUGUCCGCAUGAUUAAAGGUAUUUUCCGGUAGACGAUGGGGAUGCGUUCCAUUAGAUAGUAGGCGGGGUAACGGCCCACCUAGUCAACGAUGGAUAGGGGUUCUGAGAGGAAGGUCCCCCACAUUGGAACUGAGACACGGUCCAAACUCCUACGGGAGGCAGCAGUGAGGAAUAUUGGUCAAUGGGCGAUGGCCUGAACCAGCCAAGUAGCGUGAAGGAUGACUGCCCUAUGGGUUGUAAACUUCUUUUAUAAAGGAAUAAAGUCGGGUAUGCAUACCCGUUUGCAUGUACUUUAUGAAUAAGGAUCGGCUAACUCCGUGCCAGCAGCCGCGGUAAUACGGAGGAUCCGAGCGUUAUCCGGAUUUAUUGGGUUUAAAGGGAGCGUAGAUGGAUGUUUAAGUCAGUUGUGAAAGUUUGCGGCUCAACCGUAAAAUUGCAGUUGAUACUGGAUGUCUUGAGUGCAGUUGAGGCAGGCGGAAUUCGUGGUGUAGCGGUGAAAUGCUUAGAUAUCACGAAGAACUCCGAUUGCGAAGGCAGCCUGCUAAGCUG